rnacentral:rRNA from 1 species
UACGUAGGGGGCUAGCGUUGUCCGGAAUCAUUGGGCGUAAAGCGCGCGUAGGCGGCCCUGUUAGUCCGCUGUAAAAGUCAAAGGCUCAACCUUUGAAUGCCGGUGGAUACUGCAGGGCUAGAGUCCGGAAGAGGCGAGUGGAAUCCCUGGUGUAGCGGUGGAAUGCGCAGAUAUCAGGAGGAACACCUGUGGUGUAGACAGCUUACUGGACCACUUCUGACGCUGAGACACGAAAGCGUGGGUAGCAAACAGG